AUGCAAGUCGAACGGGCUGUUUAUGCAGCCAGUGGCGGACGGGUGAGUAACACGUAGGUGACCUACCCCAAAGUCUGGGACAACUAGGAGAAAUCUUAGCUAAUCCUGGAUGUGGACAUCUACUUUGGUGGAUGUUUAAAGCUUCGGCGCUUUGGGAUGGGCCUGCGGCGCAUCAGGUAGUUGGUGGGGUAAUGGCCUACCAAGCCGACGACGCGUAGCUGGUCUGAGAGGACGAUCAGCCACAGGGGUACUGAGACACGGACCCCACUCCUACGGGAGGCAGCAGUUAGGAAUCUUCCGCAAUGGGCGAAAGCCUGACGGAGCGAUACCGCUUGAAGGACGAAGCCCUUCGGGGUGUAAACUUCUGAACUCGGGACGAUAAUGACGGUACCGAGGUAAUAGCACCGGCUAACUCCGUGCCAGCAGCCGCGGUAAUACGGAGGGUGCGAGCGUUACCCGGAUUUACUGGGUGUAAAGGGCGUGUAGGCGGUCUCUCAAGUCCGAUGCUAAAGACCGAAGCUCAACUUCGGGGGUGCGUUGGAUACUGUGAGGCUAGACGGUCGGAGAGGGUAGCGGAAUUUCCGGAGUAGCGGUGAAAUGCGCAGAUACCGGAAGGAACGCCGAUAGCGAAAGCAGCUACCUGGACGAUUUGUGACGCUGAGGCGCGAAAGCGUGGGGAGCAAACCGGAUUAGAUACCCGGGUAGUCCACGCCCUAAACGAUGAGUGCUGGGUGUCCGACAUCUGUUGGGUGCCGUAGCUAACGCGUUAAGCACUCCACCUGGGAAGUACGGUCGCAAGACUGAAACUCAAAGGAAUUGACGGGGGCCCGCACAAGCGGUGGAGCAUGUGGUUUAAUUCGAAGCAACGCGCAGAACCUUACCAGGUCUUGACAUCCUGGGAACCCUGGUGAAAGCCGGGGGUGCCCGCAAGGGAGCCCAGAGACAGGUGCUGCAUGGUCGUCGUCAGCUCGUGUCGUGAGAUGUU
rnacentral:rRNA from 1 species